CAGUGAUUAAAUCAUAAUUGUAUACUGACAAAUGAGGUUUUAAAGAUUAGGCUACGGUCAAUGCAACAAUAGUCUUAUUAGCGCAUUCUAAGAAAGAAUAAAUUAAGGAUCAGCUUGUGAUCCAAAGUAAUGCAGAUUUCAGAGCUAUUGAAUACAAACUGAACUACGUCUCAUAGGCGUACUUUGAGUUUUGAAUACAGAAUCUCUUACUCGCGACUUAUCAAGGCAAUUAUCACAUUGGAAAAUACAAGCAUGGAGUAUUUACUAUUUUAGUGAGUGAUGACAUGAUGGAUUUGAUAAGAGGAUCCCUGCAUAUUCUCCUGACAAGUCUGAUCCUGGCUUCUUACGUGUAUUCUCAGACGACGGAGAAUCUGAAGACUACGGAAAAUGUUUCCAACAUUUCCUCUGAGACGACCGUUCAUUUAACAACACAUGGCAGACUUCAACAUGCUGAUCCAACAACAAGUACUGACAUAGCAAACGAAGACAUGACAACUCGGAACAACGAGCGUUCUACAACUCCGUUUGACAUUGCUGGUAUAAUGAAGGCCAUCAUGUCAAAUAACGAAUCCUUAUUCAAGAACCUGGUGGGAAACAGAUCGCAUCUUCCCGCAGACGUUUUCAACAGUAUUGUUAAUUCCAAGUAUUUUGGGAUUAACAUCUUUGGUGUAAAAGGCUACUAUAUAGACCCUGUAGAGUUUGGGAUUGUUACAGGAAUAUAUUCCCUGACCUUCCUUCUUGGUGUGAUAGGGAACAGUUUAGUGAUCUACGUAAUUGUGAAACAGCUUGGAGUUGAAGACGUUACCAACAUUUUUCUAUUCAGCCUUUCCUUGGCAGACCUUCUCGUCAUCGUUCUCUGCGUACCUUUGAGGAAUGUUGCCCAUUUCUCAUACGGAUGGUAUCUUGGAGGAGCUAUGUGUAAGAUUCUAUUCUACGCUAACCAGGUGUCGUUUUCCUGCAGUAUCAUGACACUUACUAUGAUGGCUAUUGAAAGGUAUGUAGCAAUAUGUCAUCCACUGAAGUCUCGUUACUUGUGCACUCCGUCAAUAUCGAAGAAAAUUUGCUGCGUCGUUUGGUUCGGGGCGUUCGUACUGGGCAUCCCGGCUCUCUUCGCUUAUAAAUAUAUGUUUAGAUCCAAGGACAACUACACGUGCGACUUCGACUUUCAAGGUGUUUGGAAAAAGCUGUACUGGCUCUAUUGGCUUGUCAUAUUCUUUGUCAUCCCUCUCGUCAUUCUUUUCUUCUCGUAUGGGGCCAUCAGCGUAACUCUUUGGAGGAGCGUCAUCGAUAAUAAGGCUGCCAAUGAGGCACAGAAUGGGAGUAAAAGUGGAAUGCCGAGAGAAAACGAUUUGAUGAAGAAGCGUUUAAAUGUUAUCAACAUGCUGAUCGUAGUGGUUGUUAUAUUCUUCAUCUGUUGGGGUCCAUUAUUGAUCAUGGACGUCAUUGAUGCUUUCGGUGGAGCAGACUUGUCAAGAAGAGAGGGCCAUAAGGCACGGGUUGCUUUAAGACUUCUCUCUUAUUUUAACAGUUGUGUUAAUCCAGUCAUCUAUUGCUUCAUGUCAAGGAAGUUCCGUGAUGGUUUUAAGAAAGUGUGUAUGUGUUGUGGCAGACGCAAGACUGCAAGGAAAUCCACGAUGCACACAUCAGCGUCCCCUCAUGUUUACUCAAACAGUGCGAUGAUGGCUAGCGAUACAAAUGCCACUGAGCUAACUGCAGCCAACUACACGCAUCGGAAUCAUUCGGGGAACCAAGAGAAGGCAAAUUCAUCAGAGAAGACAAGGUUCUAGAUGUGCGUGGUAGAUGCAGUGAGCAACUGAAGAUUGUGGAUUUAAAGAAUCCAUCUAGUGAUAGAGCCUGUCUGUUAAAUCACGUUUGAUUUAGUUCGGUCAGCUGAUCAAAAUCAGACAAUCAGCUGAUCAAAAUCAGACAAACAUAGGUCGAAUUUAUGCUAUCGACAAAAAACUAUACCAUGUCAGUUGUGGCUACUUGAUAUACAGAUACAGCUAGGCUAUAGUUAAAUACAAAGCCUCAUAAAGUCAGUCAAAAUAAAAACGAAAUGCUUGAGCGUCAUGUUACAUUUGACAUUUUGCCGACGUCCAGCCCAUAACCCACUAGUAAUUUACAGCAUGGACUGGAACCUUCAUG
rnacentral:misc_RNA from 1 species